AUGACCAACAAGGCCGCCACCGCCAGCAUCAUCGCCGCCGUGGGCGUCGUGGCCGUCAUCGGCACGAUCGCCGCGGUCACCACGUCCAAGAAGGCCAGCGACGAUGGUGGCAACAUGUCCACCAGCAUCAAGCUCUCCCAGCUCUGCUCCUCCACGCUGUACCCGGCCAAGUGCGAGAACAGCCUCACCCCCGUCGUCAACGAGUCGUCCAACCCGGAGGAGGUCCUCCGGGCCGCGCUCCAGGUGGCCAUGAACGAGAUCGGCGCCGCCUUCGCCAAAUACACCGACGUCGGCAAGGGCGCCGCCGACAAGAUCACCUUGAGCGCCAUCGGCGAGUGCAAGAAGCUGCUCGACGACGCCAUCGUGGACCUCAAAGACAUGGCCGGCCUCAGGGCCGACCAGGUCGUCGUCCAGGUCAACGACCUCAGGGUCUGGAUCUCCGGCGUCAUGACCUAUAUCUACACCUGCGCCGAUGGCUUCGACAAGCCGGAGCUCAAGCAUGCCAUGGACAAGCUGCUGAGGAACUCCACAGAGCUCAGCAGCAACGCCCUGGCUAUCAUCACCCGCGUCGGCCAGUUCCUGCAUCAAGGACAGGACGCCAAGAGUGAUUCCACCGGCGGAGGGAACCGCCGACUUCUCGGGUGGUACAUGGGUGACGCGCACGACGUGGAAAGCAGGCGCCGGCUUCUAGCUAUCAAUGGCAGGCUGGAUGAGAUCGCAGUCGUGAGAGACGCGAGCCGGCGCCUCCUGUCAGAGACGAUGGACGAGAUCACUGAGAUGUCCCACGACGGAGACCGCCACCUGUCGGAGACGAUGGACCAGAUCGACGAGAUGUCCCACAGCGGAGACCGCCACCUGUCGGAGACGAUGGACCAGAUCGAUGAGAUGUCCCACAACGGAGACCGCCACCUGUCGGAGACGAUGGACCAGAUCGAUGAGAUGUCCCACGACGGAGACCGCCACCUGUCGGAGACGAUGGACGAGAUCGAUGAGAUGUCCCACGACGGAGACCGCCACCUCCAAGACGUGAGCACGUCCAACCUCGCCGGAAACGUGAGCACGUCCAACCUUACCGGAAAGGCGAACACGUCCCAGGUCAUGUCGUUCGGCGACGGCUCGUCGGCCUCGAUGUUCUUCGGCGUCUCCAACCUGACUAAGGAGGCCGACUUCGUCCGGCGACGGCUGCUGAGCAUGACGUACAACGGCUCGUCGGAGAACGAGGUUAAACAAUAUGAUGAAGGCAACAAGCGAAGGCUCCUCAAUGAUCCUUCGUCGGAGGAUGAGGUUAAACAAUACGGUGAGGGCAACAAGCGAAGACUCCUCAACGACGCCUCGUCAGGGGACGAGGUUAAACAAUACGGCGAAGGCAACAAGCGAAGGCUUCUCAAUGAUGCCUCGUCGGGGGACGAGGUUAAGCAAUACGGCGCAGGCAACAAGCGAAAGCUCCUCAAUGAUGCCUCGUCGGGGGACGAGGUUAAACAAUACGGCGAAGGCAACAAGCGAAGGCUCCUCAACGACGCCUCAUCGGAUAACGAGGUUAAACAAUACGGCGAAGGCAACAAGCGAAGGCUCCUCAACGACGCCUCAUCGGAUAACGAGGUUAAACAAUACGGCGAAGGCAACAAGCGAAGGCUCCUCAACGACGCCUUGUCGGAUAACGAGGUUAAACAAUACGGCGAAGGCAAUAAGCGAAGGCUCCUCAACGACGCCUUAUCGGAUAACGAGGUUAAACAAUACGGCGAAGGCAACAGGCGAAAGCUCUUGUCCACUCAGAUGCAGAUCAUCGCCGACAUGUCGGCGCAGAUGAACCGCCGCCUCCUCGCGACGGAGCUCCCCGAGGACCUCGCCGGCAAGCGUCAGCUCCUGUCCAACAAGCUCGUCAUGAUCUACGAAGUCGCCAAGGAGGCCAACUGCGAGCUCGAGGCGAUCGGCAACGGCAGCUUCCCCGAGGAGGAGGAGGAUCAGAGGGUGCUGGCGACGGAGGUUGUCGGCACGAUCGAAGACCUGCCCAACAGCCACCGCCGCAAGCUGCUGUCCGCCGGCGUCUUCCCGGAGUGGGUGUCGUCCCACACCCGGAGGCUCCUCCAGAUUCCCGGCGGGCUGCAGAAGCCCAACGCGGUGGUGGCCGCGGACGGGAGCGGCAACUUCAAGACCAUCACGGAGGCCCUCAACUCCGUGCCCAAGAAGUCCACCGCACGCUUCGUCAUCUACGUCAAGGCCGGCGAAUACAAGGAGUACGUCACCGUCAGCAAGGACCAGGCCAACGUCUUCAUGUACGGAGACGGGCCGACCAAGACCCGGGUCAUCGGCGACAAGAGCAACAAGGGAGGCUUCGCCACCAUUGCCACCCGCACCUUCUCGGCGGAGGGGAACGGGUUCAUCUGCAAGUCGAUGGGAUUCGUGAACACGGCGGGGCCGGACGGGCACCAGGCGGUGGCGCUGCACGUGCAGGGGGACAUGUCGGUGUUCUUCAACUGCAGGUUCGAGGGGUACCAGGACACCCUGUACGUGCACGCCAACCGGCAGUUCUUCCGCAACUGCGAGGUGUUGGGCACCAUCGACUUCAUCUUCGGCAACUCGGCGGCGGUGUUCCAGAACUGCCUCAUGACGGUGCGGAAGCCCAUGGAAAGCCAGGGCAAUAUGGUGACCGCGCACGGGCGCACGGACCCCAACAUGCCCACCGGCAUCGUGCUCCAGGGGUGCAAGAUCGUGCCGGAGGACGCGCUGUUCCCCGUCAGGCAGACGGUCCCCAGCUACCUCGGACGGCCGUGGAAGGAAUACUCGAGGACGGUGAUCAUGGAGAGCACCAUCGGCGACCUCAUCAAGCCCGAGGGGUGGUCGGAGUGGAUGGGUGACCUCGGGCUCAAGACGCUCUACUACGCCGAGUACGCCAACACCGGGCCCGGCGCCGGGACAAGCAAGAGGGUGACCUGGCCGGGGUACCGUGUCAUCGGACAGGCUGAGGCCACGCAGUUCACCGCCGGCGUGUUCAUCGACGGCAUGAGCUGGCUCAAGAACACCGGCACGCCUAACGUUAUGGGCUUCAUCAAAUGA
rnacentral:rRNA from 1 species